ACACCCCCUGGCUGUGCUAGCUGAAGUGAUGCUGGUUGGAAUGUCACUGGAAUUAUGAACAGGCUGCCGGGAGUGCUAAAGAAGUGAGACUAGCAUGACAAUAAAAACUGCAAGUCUGUGAGCUGCACAUCCUCCUUUCAGCAGAAAAAGGUCGUUUUAAAUCUGUCAGCUCUGCAGAGGAAGCCAACACAUUUCAUAGCACCUUGAAUCUCUAAAGGAAGUAGCUAUGGACCCCAAGUGCCAGUCAUCUUCCCCUCAGAAACAAACAGUGAAGAAUCGAUCCAAAUCCACUGACGAGGUCCAGCAAGCGAAGAAGGCUUUCCACACACCACAGAAGUCCCUGCCGGGCAAAACGGAACUGGAGAAACUGAAGGAGACCAGUGAAGUCUUGGAGACAUCGUCUUCAACUGAGGAAUUAACUGGAGCAGAAGAGAACUGAAAGACCACGAGCGACUGGCUUGGCUACAUUUUCCCCUCAAUGGGUUCAUUAUUUUUCCAGAAACCAAGGAAUCUUUGCAAACUUAUUUCUCUCUUAAUCCAGUCAAAAUGGACCAGGGUACCAUAUUGCGGGUGUGGUGGUAGGGCUUUGCCUUUUUCAUUCUUGCUAUCAUGUUACAAAUAGAACGCUGAUGUAAUGCCAUUGCAAUGCCAGUUCACCUGUACUGAAUGUACAUUAACAGUAAAAUGACUUGGCAUUGUUCAUAUGAAGUCUUGCCAUGAGUUGGCAUGAGUGCUUGAAUGGGUGACAUCUUACUAGCCAAGUCUUAUUCUGUGUUGUUGAAUGGAUUUUUCAAACCCUUAAAUAUGUUGUCCGUACCUUUUUAUUGUUGCCCUUAUCAUUUUUGUCAUUUGGAAGUCUUGGAAGAUAAAUGAUGGGCAUAGCUCCAUUUUGCUCUGAAAUACCGUAUUCCUUUGAAUUAAAGAUGCACUUUUUAAACAAUUUUUUCUUCUAAAAAAUGGCCUGCGUCUUAAAUUCGAGUAUUAUUAUUUAUUACUUAGCAGACGCCCUUAUCCAGGUCGAGUAUAGUGAUGCAUGUAUUAAAAUCGCCAACAAAAGACAUGAUUACCCAAGUACACAAACAGCAACAUGACUUACUGCCGAGAAAAGAUGAACAAAAAUGUUAUUGCCUGAUCUCAAAUCAUCCAUGACAUACAGGCAGCCAUUUUCAAAGAAGCAUCAUUUAGCUUCCUGAGGAAUUCGAAGAGAAGCUUUUACAAUUUCAGAGUUUUGUUAUUAGGCUCCAUUCUAACAAACAGUACCAGCUUGGACUGAUCAGACCCCCAUAUUAAUCGACAUGCCAAGCAAUACCAGUUCACAAAAAGGGAGAAACAGGUGUGAGUAUUCACGACUGGAAAUGAGAAGCAGCACUUAACUGCAAUGCUCUGUGUGACAGCAGACGGCCGCAAACUGCCUCCAUAUGCGUAAUUGAGGUUGUACCUUUGUAAAUGCAUAUUUAUUAGGACUGAUCCGAUUAACAGAUUAUUCAGACCAAUUAAUCAACUAAAUAGUUGAUCGCAGAUUAAUUUAUUUUACAAUUUAAUCGGGCAGUUUUUGUUUUUUUUUUGGCUGGGCAUUUUGAACUCCAUUUCCCAACACCCCCAGCUGAGAAAGAAUGCGCAUGAGAAGGCUUCCCGCGUCAGUUCGUGUCUGGUUUGUUGUUGCUACACACACACACACAAACACACAUACACACACUUCUUACAUUUUCUACAAUGUCCAGAACGAUCCUCAGUAUCUGCUGCCAGCUUGGAAAAAUACAUCUGCAUUCCUACAAUAAAAGCAGACUUUAUUCAUUUCAAAACUGUGUUGGUGAAAAGGUUUUUAUGUUUAAGUUGGAUGUACAGAGUUGGCUGUGCAGUGCAGCAUUUAUUUUCCAUGAUUCCUUCAUUUGGCCUGACAUGGUUUCAGGCAAGUAAAUGUCGUUUACUAGUGUCACAAGCUGCAACGUUUUGUUUUAUUGAUGUUAGUACUGUUAAUAUUACAUUACUGUUCAAGUUGUUCAUGUAUAUCGAUUUUUACUAGUUUAUAUUGUGGAACAUGGGUAGUAGAGUUGUUUUAACUGAUGUUUACCUGUUUCAUGGUCCUGAAUUAUUUUAUUUCUUUUGUCCGGAAGCCCUAUGUAAAAAAUUAAUAAAAUAAAGAUUGUUCAUAAGGAGGUUCAUAAGUGUUAUAUAUGGUAUGGUUGCAUCAAAGACAAAAAAAUAAGCCCAUUCUCAGUUCUUGUGCAUUAUAUUUUGCUAUUAAACUCUUUCAUGGAUUGACGUUGUUCUGUGGAAAUGUGUUUAUUUUACUGAAAUAAAAACGCUUUUAAAAUGACCAAAUUCCCAUUGGGCUUAUGUUAUUUUAGAUUCUAUUGAUUUUUUUAUGUAUUAAUAUACAGGACAGCCACUAUAAGAUCAUUACCUUUAUUAAAAAUGAGUAGGGAUGAAUCUACCGAUUUAAUCUACCGACAACCCUAAUAUUUAUUUGAUAUUUUGUUUUCUCCUCAGAUUGAGGGUGGGAAAUUUGGUCUGCGUCUUAAAUUCGAGGAUGUCUUAAAUUCGAAGGAAUACGGUAAAUAAAUGACACCUGGUGACAACACCUGUAGGAUUAUGUUGAAGUUGAAGAGUAGUGUUAUUUAGAUCUGUAAUUGAUUAGAUCAUGAAAAUAGACCACCUAUCUAACCGAAAGAACGAGAGAGAGGCCUGCUCUGUAGAGUUGUAGCUACAGAAAUGUUUCAAAGCGAAGGUAAACUAAACGAGAAUGGGUCAGUACAAGCUGUACUGGUAGAGGCAGUUUGGAAGAUGGGUUUUUAAAUCCUUGCUUACUUUUAUUUGGUGUACCAUUUGUGCUCUAGUGUAGAACAAAGUCCAACUGUAUGAACUAGUUUGAAGUUGCCAUUAUUUACAGUACCUUUUAAAACCAGUUUACUGUGCCAAUUCAAAACACAGCCUUGCAUCUGAGCAACUGUACAUGCCUUGUAUGUGGAAUAUGUGUUUAAAAUGUGGAUAUUUUCUUAUGACUAAAACAUGCUUGUUCAAAUGGAUAUAUAUAUAUAUAUAUAUAUAUAUAUAUAUAUAUAUAUAUAUAUACACACACGGAUAUGGUCAAAAGUUUUGUAUUACCUAGAAUUUUAGGAUAGAGAGAUUUUUUUUUAAAAAAAAGAAAAACUAUAUGAACAUAAUUUACAUAUUUUAUCAUGUAAUCAAAGAAACUACUAAAUGAAAUUGCAAAAGUCUACCAGAAGCCAUAAUAGUAGUACAGUAUUUCAUGUUAGAUUUUGAAAUGUCGUAUUUUCCGUUAAGCAUAUGGAAAACUACAAAGCGGUGUGUAAUUCAAUAUGUUAACGUAACAUUAUUCAGCAGGUUUCAUUCGACUUUAAGCUAAAUUUGUGAAUUCUAUAGGGUGAUGCUAAACGUUUGGCCACAGGUGUACAUAUUUUGCUUCUGCUUUGUUAAAUGAAAACAUGUAUUACAUUACUUUUCCUUUUUCACUUUACAGUAUUGGUUUAAUUGCGGCAUGUUGCAGUAUUGGUGUUUUAUUAAUUGUAUUUCCAGGCAGUGUUGUUUUAAUAUCUGAAGUUCAGCCAAUCCAUCCAAACCGUAGCUCUCUUAAUUCUGUGAUGUCAGUGUAUAUGGUUUGUUGCUGUGUGCUGUGCGGAUUCUUUUUGUAAAACUAUCAAUUAAACGUAUUAUGAAGCAACAUGCUCUGCUUUUUAUUGGGAAUGGAAAAGUGUUUCUUUUUAAGUGGUUGUUAAUACUUACACCAUUUUCACAGAAUACCGACAAUACACAAUUACUCAGUGUGACUGAAAUGAUUGUCUUGCCUUCAACUGCCCUGCUAACAAUUGCUUUGUAAUCUGCAGGGGUUAAAAGGAUUGCUGCGAUUCCAACAUAUUUUGUACUAAAUUUACUGACUAAUACAUGAAAAAAGAUACAAGCUGAUACUGUUUAGUGCCAUUUCCCACAUCAAAUCUUCCUAAUUGAACAAUGGGACAUAUAGUGAGAUAUGGUAAGGUUCUUCCGAAACACAAAAUGUAUUAGGCUACUGUAUUAUGUUAUACAAAAAGGAUGAUUCCCUGUCUUGUUUGUAUAACGUGUGUUCUGGUUUAUCUGUCAUUGUCUGUUAAGAAAUGUAUAUGCAACUUCAGUCUCAGUUUAUUUUUGUGCCAGAUAUGGAUUAAAAGAAAAGUGCUGGCCUCAUUUUGUUGAAAUUACCAGAGAGUUUCUGCACCCCCUGUGACUUUAUUUGUUACUGAGAUGAGAUAAUCAGUCUUUUAACCAAUUAUGAUCAAUUAAGCAAUUAAAGUCAGCUGGUGGGGGUUCUUUGGCAAGAGAAUGUUUGGUAAAGGCCUUCUGGAAGGAUCUCUAAAGGG